rnacentral:tRNA from 1 species
UGCCCUGUGGUGUAAUGGUAGCACACCGCCCUUUGGAGGCGUGAGUUUAGGUUCGAAUCCUAACGGGGCAGCCA